rnacentral:rRNA from 1 species
AAAUAAAUUUCCAACGUCUAACACACAUCGUUUACGACAUGGACUACGAGGGUAUCUAAUCCUCUUCGCUACCCAUGCUUUCGUUCCUCAGUGUCAGUAAUGAUCCAGAAAGCUGCCUUCGCAAUUGGUAUUCUUUCUAAUAUCUACGAAUUUCACCUCUACACUAGAAAUUCUGCUUUCCUCUAUCAUACUCUAGCUGAAAAGUUUUGAUGGCAGUUCCAGAGUUAAGCUCUGGGAUUUCACCACCAACUUUUUCAACCACCUACGAACUCUUUAAGCCCAGUAAUUCCGAACUACGCUAGGUCCCUUCGUAUUACCGCGGCUGCUGGCACGAAGUUAGCCGGACCUUCUUAUUCGGGUACAGUCAUUUUCUUCCCCGACGAAAGAGCUUUACAACCCAAAGGCCUUCUUCACUCACGCGGCAUCGCUGCAUCAGAGUUUCCUCCAUUGUGCAAGAUUCCCCACUGCUGCCUCCCGUAGGAGUUUGGGCCGUGUCUCAGUCCCAAUGUGGCUGAUCAUCCUCUCAAAUCAGCUAUUGAUCAUAGUCUUGGUGGGCCAUUACCCUACCAACAAACUAAUCAAGGGGGGGCUCAUCCAAUGGGGCAUAAAGCUUUCUCCGUAAAGACUUAUCCGGUAUUAGGCACAAGUUUCCUCGGGUUAUUCCAGGCCAAAGGGUAGAUACCCACAUGUUACUCACCCGUCGGCCACUAAGUAUGGCUACUUCGUUGGACUGGCAUGUGUUGGGCGUGCCGCCAGCGUACGUUCGGAGCCAGGAUCAAACUCU